rnacentral:rRNA from 1 species
UAGGGAAUCUUCCACAAUGGACGCAAGUCUGAUGGAGCAACGCCGCGUGAGUGAAGAAGGCUUUCGGGUCGUAAAACUCUGUUAUUGAAGAAGAACGUGUGUGACAGUAACUGGUCAUGCAGUGACGGUAUUCAAUCAGAAAGUCACGGCUAACUACGUGCCAGCAGCCGCGGUAAUACGUAGGUGGCAAGCGUUGUCCGGAUUUAUUGGGCGUAAAGCGAGUGCAGGCGGUCUUUUAAGUCUGAUGUGAAAGCCUUCGGCUUAACCGAAGAAGGGCAUCGGAAACUGGGAGACUUGAGUGCAGAAGAGGAGAGUGGAACUCCAUGUGUAGCGGUGAAAUGCGUAGAUAUAUGGAGANNCACCAGUGGCGAAGGCGGCUCUCUGGUCU